UACGUAGGGGGCUAGCGUUGUCCGGAAUCAUUGGGCGUAAAGAGCGCGUAGGCGGCCAGAUAAGUCCGGUGUGAAAGUCAAAGGCUCAACCUUUGAAUGCCGCUGGAAACUGUCUGGCUAGAGUCCGGGAGGGGCGAGUGGAAUUCCUGGUGUAGCGGUGAAAUGCGCAGAUAUCAGGAAGAACACCCGUGGCUAAGGCGGCUCUCUAGUGCGGUACUGACGCUGAGACGCGAAAGCGUGGGGAGCGAACAGG
rnacentral:rRNA from 1 species